rfam:Ancylostoma ceylanicum strain HY135 Acey_s0001_scaf, whole genome shotgun sequence.
CCAACGGCCCUCUUUAGGGCCACAUACGAAGUCCGAAUACGUGCG